CGAAGGUGCGGCAGCUUACACAUGCAAGUCGAGCGCCCCGCAAGGGGAGCGGCAGACGGGUGAGUAACGCGUGGGAACGUACCUUUUGCUACGGAAUAACUCAGGGAAACUUGUGCUAAUACCGUAUGUGCCCUUCGGGGGAAAGAUUUAUCGGCAAAGGAUCGGCCCGCGUUGGAUUAGCUAGUUGGUGAGGUAAAGGCUCACCAAGGCGACGAUCCAUAGCUGGUCUGAGAGGAUGAUCAGCCACACUGGGACUGAGACACGGCCCAGACUCCUACGGGAGGCAGCAGUGGGGAAUAUUGGACAAUGGGCGCAAGCCUGAUCCAGCCAUGCCGCGUGAGUGAUGAAGGCCCUAGGGUUGUAAAGCUCUUUCACCGGUGAAGAUAAUGACGGUAACCGGAGAAGAAGCCCCGGCUAACUUCGUGCCAGCAGCCGCGGUAAU
rnacentral:rRNA from 1 species